GUGGGGAAUCUUGCGCAAUGGGCGAAAGCCUGACGCAGCCAUGCCGCGUGAAUGAUGAAGGUCUUAGGAUUGUAAAAUUCUUUCACCGGGGACGAUAAUGACGGUACCCGGAGAAGAAGCCCCGGCUAACUUCGUGUCAGCAGCCGCGGUAAUACGAAGGGGGCUAGCAUUGCUCGGAAUUACUGGGCGUAAAGGGAGCGUAGGCGGACAGUUUAGUCAGAGGUGAAAGCCCAGGGCUCAACCUUGGAAUUGCCUUUGAUACUGGCUGUCUUGAGUUUGGGAGAGGUGUGUGGAACUCCGAGUGUAGAGGUGAAAUUCGUAGAUAUUCGGAAGAACACCAGUGGCGAAGGCGACACACUGGCCCAAUACUGACGCUGAGGUACGAAAGCAUGGGGAGCAAACAGGAUUAGAAACCCGGGUAGUCC
rnacentral:rRNA from 1 species